GGGGAUGUGGCUCAGUGGUAGAGUGUCUGCCUGGCAUGAACGAGGCCCUGGGCUCAAUCCCCAGCACCACCG
rnacentral:tRNA from 1 species